rnacentral:rRNA from 1 species
GAUGAACGCUAGCUACAGGCUUAACACAUGCAAGUCGAGGGACCGGCGCACGGGUGAGUAACACGUAUCCAACCUGCCCUUUACUCGGGGAUAGCCUUUCGAAAGAGAGAUUAAUACACGAUAUACAGGAUGGGGAUGCGUUCCAUUAGGUUGUUGGUGAGGUAACGGCUCACCAAGCCUUCGAUGGAUUGGGGUUCUGAGAGGAAGGUCCCCCACAUGUGAGCUGAGACACGGUCCAAACUCCUACGGGAGGCAGCAGUGAGGAAGAUUGGGCAAUGGGCGCUAGCCUGAACCAGCCAAGUAGCGUGAAGGAUGAAGGCUUAUGGGUCGUAAACUUCUUUUAUAUAAGAAUAUGUAUUAUAUGAAUAAGGAUCGGCUAACUCCGUGCCAGCAGCCGCGGUAAUUC